UACGUAGGGCGCAAGCGUUGUCCGGAAUUAUUGGGCGUAAAGAGCUCGUAGGCGGUCUGUCGCGUCGGAUGUGAAAGCCCGGGGCUUAACCCCGGGUCUGCAUUCGAUACGGGCAGACUAGAGUGUGGUAGGGGAGAUCGGAAUUCCUGGUGUAGCGGUGAAAUGCGCAGAUAUCAGGAGGAACACCGGUGGCGAAGGCGCCACUCUGGGCCGAAACUGACGCUGAGGAGCGAAAGCGUGGGUAGCAAACAGG
rnacentral:rRNA from 1 species